AGCGAACAAGCACUAAAUGAUGGAUCGCCUCUAACAAAGGCUCAACAUAUUAUCUUCAAUAACCAUCAUAGUUGUCCUUAAAACUAACUGAGCAGAACAUAGAUAGGAGGUAUCGCAAGCAUUAACACAACUUAGUCACCUUCCCGAAUCAUAAGAAUAAAAUGGGCACUAGCUAAGCAAAGAGCAUGUGUCCGACGUUUUAUCUCUCAAAAUGGGUUAGACAACGCGCAAUGUCAGAAUUUAAAUAGUAAAAUCUAACCACUUGCACGACGUCACACCAGUACGCACUAAAGAAUUCCACUUAGGCCUAGACACAAGAAAAAAAAGAAACCCCGCUAGUUUCUGCCUUUUGUUUCAAGGUAACUUAACUCCUCUUGCAAGCUUUGUACUCAUUACUCGUUUAGAUAAGUAUAGACUUAGGCAUCGGAAAGUGAUCUGCCGCUACCACAUAGAGGAUCUAAACUCAGCAAGUCUGAGUGUAUAAAAAGCUUUCUGAGUCUACAACACACAAAUCCUUGAUUAGUUAGCUAAAGCGCAUAACAUGUAUUCAAAGCACUAUUAGUUUGUGGAUACUUAAGUUAGCAAACAUAUUACAAGCAUAUGAAUUGAACUGUGACUUGGCCAACCAACCUCGCAAUCAAAUUUGUAUCAAGAUAUGUCUUUUCUUUCUCCCCUUUGAUUUGCAUGAGAUACACUGUAUGCCAUCCAAAAUACAUCUCACCUUGCAUAAGGGACAUGGGAAUGAAUUGUCAUGUUAUGCGUGCUCCACCUGCCCCCUUUAAUAGAUAUGCAUAAGAGAGAAUUUGGUUCAAAUAUAAUAUAUAUGCGUGCUCCACCUGCCCCCUUUAAUAGAUAUGCAUAAGAGAGAAUUUGGUUCAAAUAUAAUAUAUAUGCGUGCUCCACCUGCCCCCUUUAAUUUGGCUACUCCUGCUUCUGCCAAAAUCUAAUCCAACCAACCAACCAUUUUAUCGUCUGCAUUCAUCUAUACUAUAUUGCCAUAUAAACACAUCUUUGAUAUAUAAAAAUCCCAUUGUUGCUCACACGGUAAUACCACCUUAUCUUCAUUUAUAUAUAGUAUCUUCUUCCCAUCUUUAGUGCACCUCCAAAAUUGUUCGACGGUUACUUUGUUGCAAUGCUCCUUAAACAAAGACAAAUAAGAGUUUUGCACUAACAAAAUAAACUAAUACUAUUUUGCUACACAAUAAAACUUGGCAAUUGCACACGUAAUGCUUAAUAACCAUUUAAAAAUUACUUUUUUUAUUAUUAUUGUUUAAAUGAAAGGAUGAUAAUGGAUUAUGUGAGUCAAGCUACGCUUAAGGUUUGAUCGUCGGACUACAGUAGUAGAAACCUUACUCUCUAAACCCACACAAUGCAGAAAGAAAGAAUCAAACCCCAAGAUUAGCCGUCAACUACAAUUAGGCUACUUCCUUCCCGCUCAGAGCAAUGAGAAAUGACUAACUCCCUGAUAGAACGAGCCCCCCCCGGUCCCCUAUCUCCAAAUUUAUUAAAUAAAGAAAAGUAAAAAUAAAACAAUACAAGCGAGGGGACGGAGCCAAAACCCGCUAAGAAAAAAACAA
rnacentral:lncRNA from 1 species